GAUGAACGCUAGCGGCAGGCCUAAUACAUGCAAGUCGAACGAGAUCAGGGACUUCGGUUCCUGGUUUAGUGGCGCACGGGUGCGUAACGCGUAUGCAACCUACCUUCCACAGGGGGAUAGCCUUCCGAAAGGGAGAUUAAUACCGCAUAACACCUUUUCCUGGCAUCAGGAGAUGGUCAAAGAUUUAUCGGUGGAAGAUGGGCAUGCGUGCCAUUAGUUAGUUGGAAGGGUAACGGCCUACCAAGACUUCGAUGGCUAGGGGUUCUGAGAGGAUGGUCCCCCACACUGGUACUGAGACACGGACCAGACUCCUACGGGAGGCAGCAGUAGGGAAUAUUGGGCAAUGGCCGAGAGGCUGACCCAGCCAUGCCGCGUGCAGGAAGAAGGCCUUCUGGGUUGUAAACUGCUUUUAUCUGGGAAGAAAACGCCCUUGCGAGGGUAUCUGACGGUACCAGGUGAAUAAGCACCGGCUAACUCCGUGCCAGCAGCCGCGGUAAUACGGA
rnacentral:rRNA from 1 species